AUGCCGACCGCCUCCUGCCUCCGCCCGCCUCUCCGCAGCGGCCGCUCCGCCGCGGCGCGCCUCGGGUUCCCUCCCCCGCCUCCCCCGGCGCAGCUCUACCCGGCGGGGCUGGCGAUUGGGAGCUGGCGGAGGAGGCUCGCCGGGGUCGGGGUGGCGGCCGCCUCCGCCUCGCCCUUCGACGAGCUCUACGCGCGGGGAAGGCCCAUGCACGGCCCCUCCAAGAAAUCUACCUUGUGGAAUUUGAUCCAAGAUAUAGAGCCUUUGGAUCUUAGUGUCAUUCAGAAAGAUGUUCCUCUUGAAACAGUUGAUGCAAUGAAGAGGACCAUCUCUGGCAUGUUGGGUCUGCUUCCAUCUGAUCAGUUCCGUGUUGUUGUAGAAGCCCUUUGGAGUCCAUUUUUCAAGUUAUUGGUAUCUUCAAUCAUGACUGGGUAUACUCUACGUAAUGCUGAAUGCAGGCUCUCUUUUGAAAGGAACCUAGAACUUUCUGAAGAAGAUGCUGAAUGUGAAAAAAGAGACACGAGUGAAGAUAAUCUUCAUGAUAUCAAUUUGGGUAGGCCUGUUACAAUUUUCAGAUUAUCGGAAGACGACAUGCCCCAGGACUCUGGAAAAAGUGACGAAGAAUCAUCUGGUGAGAGUAUGGGAGAAAUGUUAAGUAACUUAACACCCCAAGCAGAAGAGCAGAUUAUUCGGUUGCAAUCUCGUUUGGAUGCGAUGAAAAAGGAGUUACAUGACCUGAAGAGGAAAAAUUCUGCCCUUCAAAUGCAACAGUUUGUUGGGGAAGAGAAAAAUGAUCUGCUGGACUAUCUAAGAUCCCUAACACCAGAGAAGGUUGCUGAACUCUCGGAAUCCACCUGUCCCGGUGUGCAAGAGGCUAUCCAGUCUGUUGUGCAUGGUUUGCUUGCUACUCUUUCCCCCAAGGUACACUCAAAGUCUCCUCCGCCACUAGAGAAUGCUGGGGGAGCCCUAAAUUGUGGGGGUGAGGACGAUGACUGUGCAGAGCUUGUCGAGAAUACUUCCCUCCCGUUUCAGCCCCUAAUAUCUGUCCCACGUGAUUAUCUUGCACGUUUGCUAUUCUGGUGCAUGUUGCUGGGUCACUACAUCCGGGGUCUGGAAUACCGGUUAGAGCUGGCACACCUUCUCAGAAUAUCUAGCGACGUGGGGUCUUUCCCCAUUGAUGACGAUCAUUUUAUUUGA
rnacentral:rRNA from 1 species